GGUGCGAAAGUCGAGAUCAAAUUGAAUUAGAUUUUCAGAUAAUUAACAAGUGGGGUGACUCCUUAGAGAAAGCAUAAGUUUAACACUCUCUUUUUGCGCUAUAAGGUAAAGAUUUUUGAUCUUAUAUUUAUAGCAAGUGUGACAAAAAGUAUAAACAACAAAUAGAAAAUAAAUCUAAUUUUGCCAUUGCUUAUCAGGAAUGCGAAAGUAAGACCACAUCGAACUGUACUUGCGGGUACUCAUUAGGUGAGACGGCUCCAAAAUAUGAAUCAAGUGCUUCCAUCCCAUUAUGUCUCAUGAUUUGUUUGCCUUCAAUAUCUCAUAGAACUAUAAAACUGGUUGUGGAUACAAGUAUUUCACCGUUCGGGUGGUAGAGGUG
rnacentral:lncRNA from 1 species